ACGGAAGGCAGCAGUGGGGGAUAUUGCACAAUGGGGGAAACCCUGAUGUAGCGACGCCGCGUGAGCGAAGAAGUAUUUCGGUAUGUAAAGCUCUAUCAGCAGGGAAGAAAAUGACGGUACCUGACUAAGAAGCUCCGGCUAAAUACGUGCCAGCAGCCGCGGUAAUACGUAUGGAGCAAGCGUUAUCCGGAUUUACUGGGUGUAAAGGGAGCGUAGACGGUUUGCCAAGUCUGAUGUGAAAGGUGGGGGCUCAACCCCCAAACUGCAUUGGAAACUGGUAGACUAGAGUGUCGGAGAGGUAAGUGGAAUUCCUAGUGUAGCGGUGAAAUGCGUAGAUAUUAGGAGGAACACCAGUGGCGAAGGCGGCUUACUGGACGAUAACUGACGUUGAGGCUCGAAAGCGUGGGGAGCAAACAGGAUUAGAUACCCUGGUA
rnacentral:rRNA from 1 species